rnacentral:rRNA from 1 species
UACGGGGGGGGCAAGCGUUGUCCGGAAUUAUUGGGCGUAAAGAGCUCGUAGGCGGUCUGUCGCGUCUGCUGUGAAAACUCGGGGCUUAACCCCGGGCCUGCAGUGGGUACGGGCAGACUAGAGUGCGGUAGGGGAGACUGGAAUUCCUGGUGUAGCGGUGAAAUGCGCAGAUAUCAGGAGGAACACCGAUGGCGAAGGCAGGUCUCUGGGCCGAUACUGACGCUGAGGAGCGAAAGCGUGGGGAGCGAACAGG